UACGUAGGUGGCGAGCGUUGUCCGGAAUUACUGGGUGUAAAGGGCGUGUAGGCGGGAAUGCAAGUCAGAUGUGAAAUACCAAGGCUUAACCUUGGGGCUGCAUCUGAAACUGCGUUUCUUGAGUGUCGGAGAGGAAAGUGGAAUUCCUAGUGUAGCGGUGAAAUGCGUAGAGAUUAGGAGGAACACCAGUGGCGAAGGCGACUUUCUGGACGAUAACUGACGAUGAGGCGCGAAAGAGUGGGGAGCAAACAGG
rnacentral:rRNA from 1 species